GAUGAACGCUGGCGGCGUGCCUAAUACAUGCAAGUCGAGCGAACAGAUGAGGAGCUUGCUCCUCUGACGUUAGCGGCGGACGGGUGAGUAACACGUGGAUAACCUACCUAUAAGACUGGGAUAACUUCGGGAAACCGGAGCUAAUACCGGAUAAUAUAUUGAACCGCAUGGUUCAAUAGUGAAAGACGGUUUUGCUGUCACUUAUAGAUGGAUCCGCGCCGCAUUAGCUAGUUGGUAAGGUAACGGCUUACCAAGGCAACGAUGCGUAGCCGACCUGAGAGGGUGAUCGGCCACACUGGAACUGAGACACGGUCCAGACUCCUACGGGAGGCAGCAGUAGGGAAUCUUCCGCAAUGGGCGAAAGCUUGACGGAGCAACGCUGCGUGAGUGAUGAAGGUCUUCGGAUCGUAAAACUCUGUUAUUAGGGAAGAACAAAUGUGUAAGUAACUAUGCACGUCUUGACGGUACCUAAUCAGAAAGCCACGGCUAACUACGUG
rnacentral:rRNA from 1 species